CACGUAGGGUGCGAGCGUUGUCCGGAAUUAUUGGGCGUAAAGAGCUCGUAGGCGGUGUGUCGUGUCGGCCGUGAAAACCUGCAGCUUAACUGUGGGCUUGCGGUCGAUACGGGCAUCACUGGAGUUCGGCAGGGGAGACUGGAAUUCCUGGUGUAGCGGUGAAAUGCGCAGAUAUCAGGAGGAACACCGGUGGCGAAGGCGGGUCUCUGGGCCGAUACUGACGCUGAGGAGCGAAAGCGUGGGGAGCGAACAGG
rnacentral:rRNA from 1 species